GUGGGGAAUCUUGCGCAAUGGGCGAAAGCCUGACGCAGCCAUGCCGCGUGAAUGAUGAAGGUCUUAGGAUUGUAAAAUUCUUUCACCGGGGACGAUAAUGACGGUACCCGGAGAAGAAGCUCCGGCUAACUUCGUGCCAGCAGCCGCGGUAAUACGAAGGGGGCUAGCGUUGCUCGGAAUUACUGGGCGUAAAGGGCGCGUAGGCGGACAGUUUAGUCAGAGGUGAAAGCCCAGGGCUCAACCUUGGAAUUGCCUUUGAUACUGGCUGUCUUGAGUACGGGAGAGGUGAGUGGAACUCCGAGUGUAGAGGUGAAAUUCGUAGAUAUUCGGAAGAACACCAGUGGCGAAGGCGACUCACUGGCCCGUUACUGACGCUGAGGCGCGAAAGCGUGGGGAGCAAACAGGAUUAGAAACCCUAGUAGUCC
rnacentral:rRNA from 1 species